rnacentral:rRNA from 1 species
GUCUAUGGCCAUAUCACUCGGAAUGUGCCCGAUCUCAUUAGAUCUCUGAAGGUAAGCAAAGAUGGGCCUGGUUAAUACUUGGAUGAGAAACUGGGAAUACUGGGUGCAGUAGGGG